UACAGAGGGUGCGAGCGUUGUCCGGAAUCACUGGGCGUAAAGGGCGCGUAGGCGGAUCUUUAAGUCGGGGGUGAAAGCCCGAGGCUCAACCUCGGAACUGCCUUCGAUACUGCGGGUCUCGAGUCCGGGAGAGGUGAGUGGAAUUCCUAGUGUAGAGGUGAAAUUCGUAGAUAUUAGGAAGAACACCAGUGGCGAAGGCGGCUCACUGGCCCGGUACUGACGCUGAGGCGCGAAAGCGUGGGGAGCAAACAGG
rnacentral:rRNA from 1 species